rnacentral:rRNA from 1 species
GAGAGCUUGAUUGCAAGACAUACAGGUCGAGCAAGGAUGAAAAUCGGACUUAGUGAUCCGGUGGUUCUGCGUGGAAGGGCCAUCGCUCAACGGAUAAAAGCUGCCCUGGGGAUAACAGGCUUAUCUCCCCCAAGAGUCCACAUCGACGGGGAGGUUUGGCACCUCGAUGUCGGCUCAUCACAUCCUGGGGCUGUAGUAGGUCCCA